UACCAGCACCCCGAGUGGUCGGGACGUUUAUUGGGCCUAAAGCAUCCGUAGCCGGUUCUACAAGUCUUCCGUUAAAUCCAACUGCUUAACAGGUGGGCUGCGGAAGAUACUAUAGAGCUAGGAGGCGGGAGAGGCAAGCGGUACUCGAUGGGUAGGGGUAAAAUCCGUUGAUCCAUUGAAGACCACCAGUGGCGAAGGCGGCUUGCCAGAAUGCGCUCGACGGUGAGGGAUGAAAGCUGGGGGAGCAAACCGG
rnacentral:rRNA from 1 species